rnacentral:rRNA from 1 species
UACGGGGGGGCAAGCGUUGUUCGGAAUUACUGGGCGUAAAGGGUCUGUAGGUGGCCAACUAAGUCAGACGUGAAAUCCCUCAGCUUAACUGGGGAACUGCGUCUGAUACUGGUUGGCUUGAGUGCAGGAGAGGAAUGCGGAAUUCCAGGUGUAGCGGUGAAAUGCGUAGAUAUCUGGAGGAACACCGGUGGCGAAGGCGGCAUCCUGGACCGAGAUUGACGCUGAGGCGCGAAAGCCAGGGGAGCAAACGGG